GUUCUACCACAAUACUGAUAAACAGGUUGUUCAAUUAUUUUUAAAGUCUAGAUUGUUCUUGGUUUUUCCAGAAUGUUUUUUUUUGUUCUUGGUGAGACUUGAAAGUUCCGGAAACUAACAUGAUAGUUUAAAGAGCAAGCUGUCUGAGGACAAGGUAGAACCUAAAAGUAAGAACUUAUUGAAAAACUGUUCUGUAUUUCUUAAUAACAAAAUCUUACCUUGUCGAUAUUUUAACAUUUAAAGGACUAACAUUGUGGAGUUAAAAUUUAUCUUUGAAGAGAGGAUUUAUAAUCUUUGGACAGACUAAAUUCCGUUUGGAUUUGUGAACUGUUUGGAUUUAAAUUUGAUCAGGAUAGAAUUUGGACCGUAUAUUUACAUAUUAGAUUGGGUUUUAAAGCUAUUUGACAUAUUUAAGAAAAUGUCCCGAGAUAAAACGUCGGCAACUACAUAUUCAGGCUAUAAAUUAGAACUGAGAUGUGCCUCUCUUUUGAAGACAUUCCAUCAUUAGCUGGGAAUAAUUUCAUAACGUGAAAACUUCUUUCAUUAUACACUCUGUUCUUUCAAAGGAUCUUCCGAUACGUAUUGUAAGGAUCUACCCCCCCCUGGAUAGUUGCACAUCCUUAUUAAUCAGGAUACCAGUUUACUUAGUAAUACUGGUGUUUGCAUAUCAACAUCUACCUUGAUAGAGCAUGCAAAUACUUGUGUCUGUUGCGAUUUACCCCAGAUGCGUUGAUAUAAAUAUCUGGAUAACCUCUUUGGAUGCUUCGAUAUCGGACAAAAACUUCUAGGUGCGUCAUUAUAGAUCAUAUACCUCGGGUAAACCUUGUAUGUCCUAUUUAGUCGGGAUAUUUGGACCAUAAUGAUAACCAAUAUAGAUACAUCAUCGUAGAAGUACGCUCGAGAAGUUGACAAUAUGGCACCGUAGAAAUGAAAAUUGCAUCGUAGAAAUAAAUAUUUCUUCAUUGAUAAACAACGGAGGACCUAGGCCUAUGCAGUGGGAUCUUCUUCAGUCAAAGCAAUUAUAAAUAUAUCUGUACCAAAAACUAUUAUACAUUUGUAGAUAAAUAUAGGUAGAAUUACGUAGACCAAUGCAUAUCUUUGGUUCUGCUAUAACGUGGUAAUUCAGACAAGGCAUACUGCAAGGUUCUGUUUUUGCAUGGUAUUGUAUCUAAUUCAUAAUAUUGUUGUUAUUGUGUUGUUGUAAUUGUUUAAUCUAUACAGCUAAAAGUGCCUAUUCAAUGAAUUCUACUCUUAAAAAUAAAGCUUAGAAUGUA